CGCCAGACUCCUACGGGAGGCAGCAGUGGGGAAUAUUGCACAAUGGGGGAAACCCUGAUGCAGCGACGCCGCGUGAGUGAAGAAGUAUUUCGGUAUGUAAAGCUCUAUCAGCAGGGAAGAAAAUGACGGUACCUGAUUAAGAAGCCCCGGCUAACUACGUGCCAGCAGCCGCGGUAAUACGUAGGGGGCAAGCGUUAUCCGGAUUUACUGGGUGUAAAGGGAGCGUAGACGGUGAUGCAAGUCAGAAGUGAAAGCCCGGGGCUCAACUCCGGGACUGCUUUUGAAACUGUGUGACUGGAGUGCAGGAGAGGUAAGCGGAAUUCCUGGUGUAGCGGUGAAAUGCGUAGAUAUCAGGAGGAACACCAGUGGCGAAGGCGGCUUACUGGACUGUAACUGACGUUGAGGCGCGAAAGCGUGGGGAGCAAACAGGAUUAGAUACCCCUGUAAA
rnacentral:rRNA from 1 species